rnacentral:rRNA from 1 species
CACGUAGUUAGCCGUGGCUUCCUCGCCGGGUACCGUCAUUACACAAUGCUGUUUGCAUUGCCUACAUUCGUCCCCGGCAACAGAGCUUUACGAUCCGAAGACCUUCUUCACUCACGCGGCGUUGCCCCGUCAGGCUUUCGCCCAUUGCGGAAGAUUCCCCACUGCUGCCUCCCGUAGGAGUCUGGGCCGUGUCUCAGUCCCAAUGUGGCCGUUCAUCCUCUCAGACCGGCUACUGAUCGUUGCCUUGGUAGGCCCUUGCCCCACCAACUAGCUAAUCAGACGCAGACCCAUCGCAAAGCGAUCGCUUACAAGUAGAGGCCAUCUUUGCUGGAGUUUCCAUGCGGAACUUCCAGAACAUUCGGAUUAGCAGUCCUUCGAACUGUUACGUCCCAUCUUUGCGGCAGGUGUCUACGCGUUACUCACCCCGUUUUGCCUACUCGACGUUUAAAAAGCUAAGCUUUUAAAUGUCUCGUUCGACUUUGCUAUGUGUUAAGCACGUCCGCAGCGUUCG